rnacentral:rRNA from 1 species
AAGAGAGUGCAAGAGAACGUGAAACCGGUGUAAUGGAAGCGAAUGGAGCCGACGUAUCUGGUGUGUAUUCAGUCGUGCGGGUGCGUGAUUGCUAGCUCCCACAUUCCGCAAGGUUGUGGUGUUGGUAUUGUUUGCGUGUCGUGCGAUGCAUUUGCAUACGGAGUGCGCUGAGUCGUGUGGUUUCGUCGAUUGACGCCGUUUAAGAGGACAUGGCUUUGGUCGUGAAACCUUGGACGGUCUAAGUCGGUUGGAGCUACACGAUUUUGUGGGUUCGUUGUUUUGCGCGGUUUGUCGUGUCGAUGCCGCCUGUUCGUGACGUACACAUGUGUGCUGCGCUUAUGGGUUGUGUCGGUGUGGCGGCGUGCUCGGCGGCCUUCUCAGUGUAUAGUCGGUGACCCAUUCGACCCGUCUUGAAACACGGACCAAGGAGUUUAUGGUAUGCGCGAGUCAUUGGGCUUUGAAACCCAUAGGCGUAAUGAAAGUGAGACCUUAUUGGUUUUAAUGUGAUCGGUUGUUGUUUCGACGGCUGCCGAGCAACAUUGCCCCGUUUCGAAGACUUGUCUUGUUGCGGAGGUUGAGCGUAUGCUAUGAGACCCGAAAGAUGGUGAACUAUGCCUGAACAGGACGAAGCCAGAGGAAACUCUGGUGGAAGUCCGAAGCGGUUCUGACGUGCAAAUCGAUCGUCUGAUUUUGGUAUAGGGGCGCAAGACUAAUCGAACCAUC